UACGUAGGGGGCAAGCGUUGUCCGGAUUUAUUGGGCGUAAAGAGCUUGUAGGCGGUCAGGCAGGUCUGCUGUGAAAAUUCGAGGCUCAACCUCGAGAUGUCGGCGGAAACCAUCUGGCUAGAGUCCGGAAGAGGAGAAUGGAAUUCCCGGUGUAGCGGUGAAAUGCGCAGAGAUCGGGAAGAACACCCGUGGCGAAGGCGGUUCUCUGGGACGGUACUGACGCUGAGACGCGAAAGCGUGGGGAGCGAACAGG
rnacentral:rRNA from 1 species